rnacentral:rRNA from 1 species
UGGGGAAUUUUGGACAAUGGGCGAAAGCCUGAUCCAGCAAUGCCGCGUGUGUGAAGAAGGCCUUCGGGUUGUAAAGCACUUUUGUCCGGAAAGAAAUCCUUGGCUCUAAUACAGUCGGGGGAUGACGGUACCGGAAGAAUAAGCACCGGCUAACUACGUGCCAGCAGCCGCGGUAAUACGUAGGGUGCAAGCGUUAAUCGGAAUUACUGGGCGUAAAGCGUGCGCAGGCGGUUUGCUAAGACCGAUGUGAAAUCCCCGGGCUCAACCUGGGAACUGCAUUGGUGACUGGGCAGGCUAGAGUAUGGCAGAGGGGGGUAGAAUUCCACGUGUAGCAGUGAAAUGCGUAGAGAUGUGGAGGAAUACCGAUGGCGAAGGCAGCCCCCUGGGCCAAUACUGACGCUCAUGCACGAAAGCGUGGGGGAGCAAACAGGAUUAGAUACCCUGGUAGUCCACGCCCUAAAACGAUGUCAACUAGUUGUUGGGGAUUCAUUUCCUUAGUAACGUAGCUAACGCGUGAAGUUGACCGCCUGGGGAGUAC